GUUAAGCGACUAAGCGUACACGGUGGAUGCCCUGGCAGUCAGAGGCGAUGAAGGACGUGCUAAUCUGCGAUAAGCGCCGGUAAGGUGAUAUGAACCGUUAUAACCGGCGAUUUCCGAAUGGGGAAACCCAGUGUGACUCGUCACACUAUCAUUAACUGAAUCCAUAGGUUAAUGAGGCGAACCGGGGGAACUGAAACAUCUAAGUACCCCGAGGAAAAGAAAUCAACCGAGAUUCCCCCAGUAGCGGCGAGCGAACGGGGAGGAGCCCAGAGCCUGAAUCAGCAUGUGUGUUAGUGGAAGCGUCUGGAAAGGCGCGCGAUACAGGGUGACAGCCCCGUACACAAAAGCGCAUAUGCUGUGAGCUCGAUGAGUAGGGCGGGACACGUGGUAUCCUGUCUGAAUAUGGGGGGACCAUCCUCCAAGGCUAAAUACUCCUGACUGACCGAUAGUGAACCAGUACCGUGAGGGAAAGGCGAAAAGAACCCCGGCGAGGGGAGUGAAAAAGAACCUGAAACCGU
rnacentral:rRNA from 1 species